CAGCAUUUGGCGUACGGUCCACCGAAAUUGGUUCAAUACAGCAGGGUGAUGCAAGAAAUCCUUUUGGAAUAAACAAUCAAGCUAAAAGACAACGUGCAUGAAGCUUAAAAGGAUGAACUGUGGAGAUGCGAAAAGCAAUCAAAGAAAUCUGGAACUUUCGGAGCCACGAGCAGCGCUCACCUCAAAUUCAUCAGAUCCAUAAGAGUGCUGGUCGCCCUCCCUAGCGAGCGCCACGCGUGUCGGUCAGCAAGGGUGUUUUCUGAAACUUAUAAUAACCAACCUCAAACCCUUAGAAAGGUGAGUGCCGAACAUAGCAGCUAUAGAUGUCGAAAAUUAACAUUUUUUAAAGGCUUUUACGCAGAUCUAUCAUCGGCGAUCAUCAAAGAAUCCGACCCAGGGAUUUAACAUCACCCGGUUUCAAAUCUUCAAUCUCUUUACUACUUUCUUUCAAUUCUAUGUUAUUUUAUUUUAUCAGAUUGUUAAUGGCUACCCACUUAAUGAAUAGCUAUGUACUUAGACGUUUGUUUGGAUGAUGUAAACGUGUUUUGAUUGUCGUCUAUUGGUCCUUGUUGAACUGUUUCUAUGCUUAAUCACAUACCCAUGAUUAUUUGAGUUAAAGUAUAUUAUUUGUUUUUCACA